rnacentral:lncRNA from 1 species
UGCUCUUCCGCCGCGGCGCGCUCCUGAUGAGUGCUGUGUCCAGGAUGAUCAUGAAUUCAAGCUCUGGAGCUUGAGGUGAACUGGUCCGACUUCCAGAAGAGAAGGAAAAGCCAGUGCAGUUACCUGACAGUGAGUAAACCCGGUGUUUCUCGUGGUUUCGUCAGAUCUACCAUCGCCUGCCAGCCUGUCCUGCUUUGACCCCGCAGACUGUCCCUGUCCCCUCUGAACAAAAGGAUGGGCUGUUUCACAGCAACCCUAUGGUUUGGUACAGUUGCUGCAGGUGGUGAGAAAGGAGGCCUGGGACCUACUCAGAGAAGCCUACAAACCUGUGGACUUGACGGUUCCGCACCAGUACCAACUGGGGGAUGCUGUUUUGUCUGGCGCCACCACGUGGGAAACCUUGACCGGUGGAAAGGACCAUACCUGGUGUUGAUGACCACUCCUACCACUAUUAAGGUGGAAGGAAUCUCAGCCUGGACCCAUGCCUCCCAUGUUAAAGAAGCACCAGAACAAUCUCAAGAUGGAUAGGACCUGGAAACCACUAAUAAUCCUCUUAAGCUGUGCCUCCAUCGCAGACGGGACAAGACUGAUGGACAAGACCACCCAUAAUCCGCACGUUCCCCGAAAACUAACAUGGCAGGUUCUCUCACAAACGGGGGAAGUGAUCUGGUCCACUUCCCAAGUUGCCCCCCCAUAUAUGUGGUGGCCUACGCUUACUCCCGAUUUUUGCCAGUUGGUAGCUGACCUAGAUUCUUGGGAUAUUCCUAAUGCGGAUCCACAAGACCUCCCUUUCCAGGCAGGAAAGAGAUUCUCCCCUGGAGGUGCAUUUGGGUGCGGGGAUCCCGAGCACAGAUGCCAACUGGCGAGACAAGGCUUCUAUGUCUGUCCUCAAGAUGGCCGGGAUAAGGCUGCAGUCCGGCGAUGUGGGGGCCUAGAAAGCUUGUUCUGUUCAGCGUGGGGUUGUGAGACUACGGGAGAGGUGUAUUGGAAGCCCAGUUCCUCCUGGGAUUGGAUCAUAGUUCAUAAAAAUUACACCUCUCCCCAAAAGUGCUCCGGGAACAAUCUUGGAAUCUGUGACACCAACCCAACUUGUAUCCCCCUAAAUAUCACUAUCACUCCCCGAGGAAGAACCGAGGCCCCCUCUACAUGGCUGCGAGGGAGAACAUGGGGUCUCAGAUGGUAUUUCCCAGACAGGUUGACCAAACAAGAACUUGGAGCCACUUUCAAGAUCCAACUUGAGGUCCAGGACCUCCCAGCAGUGGGUCCUAAUAAGAUGUUGGCUGAACAAGGUCCUUCAGGGCCUCUACUCCCACCAAGGCCACCUCCACCUCCUACUUUUACCACUCCCUCCGAGGUUAGUGUGGCCGCUCUAGAGACCCCUAUGGCCACCUACGGUAGUGUGAUUAAUAAGACUAGCCCGGACCUAACUGAGCCCUGAUGGCUAUGCCUGGCCUCGGAACCUCCUUGUUAUGAGAGAACUGCUGUUUUAGGAGGAUUUAAUAACACUACCACCCGUGUGGCCUGCAUGUGGGGACAACAUCAUAAAAUCGCCCUAACCCAGGUUUCUGGCUUUGGAACUUGCAUUGGAACCCCGUCCCAAAAUCAUCAACAUCUGCAAUGAAACCCUAAAGAGCCCUAAGACAUCAGAUAUCAGGUACUUGUUUCCUGGAUUAGACAAGUGGUGGGCUUGCAAUACUGGAUUAACUCCAGUUAGGUUAACUGUGUAUCUACUGCUAUCUUUGAUAAUUCCAAAGAUUAUUCUGUGCUUGGUCAGUUAGUUCCUAGAAUACUCUCAUCACCCUGCCAGUACCCUUGAGGAUAUCCAUGACAAGCAUGUUACUAGGUUUCACAGAGAACCAGUAACCCUGACGCUAGCAGCCAUCUUAGGACUAGGAGUGGCCGCAGGGGUGGGUACGGUACCACUGCUUUGAUCCAGACGCCCCAUCAUUUUAAUGAGCUUAGGUCUGCUAUGACUCAAGCUGGGAGAGCUUUAGAACAAUCUUUCAGAGCCAGAGGAGUCGGUCACCUCAUUGUCUGAAGCUGUGUUACAGAAUAGGAGAGACUUAGACCUGCUGUUCUUAAAGGAAGGGGGAUUAUAGGCUGCCUUAAAGGAAGAAUGUUGUUUCUAUGUAGAUCUCUCAGGAACAAUUAGAGAUUCCAUGGAUAAGUUAAGAGAAAGACUGGGUAAAAGGCAGAAAGAAAUAGAAGCCAGUCAAGGAUGGUUUGAAAGUUGGUUUAAUAAAACUCCAUGGAUGACCACUUUGAUUUCCACUUUGAUGGGGCCACUAUUAAUCCUCUUAUUGAUUAUUAUGAUAGGUCCCUGCAUUUUAACUAGGUUAGUUGCCUUUAUUAGAGAGAAGUUCUUAACCACUGAGCCAUCUCGCCAGCUCCACUCAUCCACUUUCUGCCAUGACAAUAAACGCCUAAAAUC